rnacentral:rRNA from 1 species
GGCGCGAGCAGGUGCGAAAGCAGGUCAUAGUGAUCCGGUGGUUCUGAAUGGAAGGGCCAUCGCUCAACGGAUAAAAGGUACUCCGGGGAUAACAGGCUGAUACCGCCCAAGAGUUCAUAUCGACGGCGGUGUUUGGCACCUCGAUGUCGGCUCAUCACAUCCUGGGGCUGAAGUAGGUCCCAAGGGUAUGGCUGUUCGCCAUUUAAAGUGGUACGCGAGCUGGGUUUAGAACGUCGUGAGACAGUUCGGUCCCUAUCUGCCGUGGGCGCUGGAGAAUUGAGGGGGGCUGCUCCUAGUACGAGAGGACCGGAGUGGACGCAUCACUGGUGUUCGGGUUGUCAUGCCAAUGGCACUGCCCGGUAGCUAAAUGCGGAAGAGAUAAGUGCUGAAAGCAUCUAAGCACGAAACUUGCCCCGAGAUGAGUUCUCCCUGAGACUAUAAGUCUCCUGAAGGAACGUUAAAGACGAUGACGUUGAUAGGCCGGGUGUGUAAGCGCAGCGAUGCGUUGAGCUAACCGGUACUAAUGAACCGUGAGGCUUAACCUUACAACGCCGAAG